rnacentral:rRNA from 1 species
AUAACUUCGGGAAACUGGAGCUAAUACCGGAUAAUAUUCGAACCGCAUGGUUCGAUAGUGAAAGGUGGUUUUGCUAUCACUUAUAGAUGGACCCGCGCCGUAUUAGCUAGUUGGUAAGGUAACGGCUUACCAAGGCGACAAUACGUAGCCGACCUGAGANGGGUGAUCGGCCACACUGGAACUGAGACACGGUCCAGACUCCUACGGGAGGCAGCAGCC